UGCCUUUAUGUGUUGCCCUUUCAUUGAUCUCUUAGUGAAUAGGGUGUCAACUAAGGCAUACAGUAACCUUCUAGUUGGCUUUUGAAAGGUGUUAAUAGUGAUUCCUUUUGACAAGGCCAACUGUAAGAACACUG